UUUGUUUUACGUGUUUGUUUUUAUUUUGUGGUAAGUCACCACUUCGAUGUUGACAUGGACAUUAAUUAUAUGGUCAUUGUUUUUAUAAAUUUACUAAAGAUUUUCUUAUCCCUUGCAUAGAUAACCUUAGCCGUAUUUGGAAUCAUUUUUUAGAAUUUUGAGUCACCAAUGAUCUUCAACUUUGUACCUGUUUUGCUUUCUUUACUUUUGUUAUCUAACGUCAAUGGUGAGUCUUAUGUAGCCGAAAUUCACGUAUUGUAACUAUUAGCAUGUUGAAAUGUCCUAUUGUAAUGUUUAUUUGUGUAUUUAUUUGUCCUGAAUGUUCUUGCAUUUAUUUGUACUAUAGUCCUGUUAUGUAAUGUUGUCAUUUUGAUGUUAACAUUGCCAUAAAAGCACGAGGUUUGGCGAGCCGCAAAACCAGGUUCAACCCACCAUUUUUUUUUUUUUAAAUGUUCUGAACCAAGUCAGGAAAAAGGCCAUUGUAUGUUGGUUUCUGUUUGUGUUACAUUUUAAUGUUGUGUUUCUGUUGUUGUAGUACUUCUCUUAUAUUUGAUGUGUUGCCCUUAGUUUUAAUUUGUAACCCAGAUUUGUUUUUUUCUCUCAAUUGAUUUAUGAAUUUCAAACAGCGGUUUAAUACUGUUGCCUUUAUUUAUUUAAAGACAAUUUAAAUUUAAAAGUCAGUGUUCACAUUAAACAGAAAC
rnacentral:lncRNA from 1 species